UCACUACUUGCGUAGGCAGUCCGGCUAGAGUCCCCACCAUAACGUGCUGGUAACUAACCGUAGGGGUUGCGCUCGUUGCGGGACUUAACCCAACACCUCACGACACGAGCUGACGACAGCCAUGCAGCACCUGUGCACCGGCCCAAAGGGAGCCCCUGUCUCCAGAGAUUUCCGGCGUAUGUCAAGCCUUGGUAAGGUUCUUCGCGUUGCGUCGAAUUAAACCACAUACUCCACCGCUUGUGCGGGCCCCCGUCAAUUCCUUUGAGUUUCAGUCUUGCGACCGUACUCCCCAGGCGGCGAACUUAACGCGUUAGCUUCGAUACUGCGUGCCAAAUUGCACCCAACAUCCAGUUCGCAUCGUUUAGGGCGUGGACUAC
rnacentral:misc_RNA from 1 species